rnacentral:rRNA from 1 species
UACGUAGGGGGCUAGCGUUGUCCGGAUUUAUUGGGCGUAAAGAGCGUGUAGGCGGCCAGACAGGUCCGUUGUGAAAACUCGAGGCUCAACCUCGAGACGCCGAUGGAAACCGUCUGGCUAGAGUCCGGAAGAGGAGAGUGGAAUUCCUGGUGUAGCGGUGAAAUGCGCAGAUAUCAGGAAGAACACCCGUGGCUAAGGCGGCUCACUGGACCGGCAUUGACGCUGAGGUGCGAAAGCGUGGGGAGCAAACAGG